AGGGGUCGUGCGGAGAGUCCGAGGAGGACAGGUUACUUUGGCUGCCUUCCGACUCCAUUGCGCGGCUGUGUAUCCCGUCCGAGUAUGGUGCGAGAAAGGAGGCAGAAAGUGUGGAGAGGGGGAUUGGCAUGGGAUUUCGCUUGACAGCUGAAGAGUGGGCAGUAAACAUGACAUCCACGUGGAUCCAAAUCAACGAUUGGAAUCAGAUGGGAUUGGAAUCAGUCACACAAAGGACAAUGCUUAGCAGCACUUUGGAGGAGAUGGAGGUACAAAACAAUCAGGAAAAGUCAAAGUCGGACAUUGCAUUGUGCUUUGACACAUGCACAUACAUCACUUCCCACCAUGUGCUACAGGUCUGCCAGAUGGUGAUCGAACAUAAAACAAGCUGCGAUAACAUGAACCUCAGGAAUCCCAGAAUAACCACUCGUUAGAUGGGAUCACAUCCGUCCUACAUGAGGGCAGUGACAGUUAAGGGGGAUAUGAUACUUCACAUGUCCCAAGGGCCGGCUUUUAAUGGGGCCAUUCCGGCCCUUGAAUCCAGUGCCAUCUAUUACAGCUGUGACCUCCAAAGGGCAUAAAUGGUGUAGUAGAGGAUACUCUUUCUAAAACAUCUGUGUCCUUGUGCAAGAAUGCAUCCUUCAUUUAUGUGUUUUUCACCUACUGUAUUACUUAACAAGUCUUUCUCAUGUUAUAUCAUACUGUGGUGUGGAUUGCAGAAAAGAAUGACAUAUAAUAAUCUAAAGAUCUAUCACUGAUCUUAUAUGUCAGUUUCGUUAUUCUCCCAGGCAGAAAUUUCCAGCUAUGCAAAUACUACUUUUCCUAUCUACUUGAAUGAUGACUGACAUUGGUUUGUAAAUAUUUAAAUAAAGUUUGACAUAAGAAAUAAAAUCUGACAACAAUGGUAACAUUUUAGGAUGCGCAAUAUAUUGAUACCUUAUUGGUUAUCAUUGAUAUUAGAUUUUCUAUUAUAUCAGUAAAUAUUGCAUAUUUAAUCAUUCAUUCAUUUCCCAAGUUUUUACAUUUAGGUUACGUUUGUAUCAUCUAACACUCACUUAACAUAAAAUAUAUAUAAUAAUAAUUUAGUAUUACUUACUUACUGAACAUGAUAAUUUUUUAUAACUUUUAAAACAAAUCAUUUUAGCUUUUAGUGUUUUAUUUAUAAUUUAUUUGUACAAACUAGUAUAGAAUUGUAACAUUGGGCUUUUGUUGGUUAUUGGCCAUAACAGGAAAAUUAUUAUUGUCAGUAUUACUGUUUUUACUGUAUUUUUGAUCAAAUAAAUGCAGCCUUAGUAAGCUUGACUUCAAAACUUUAAAUAAUCUUAUCGACCCCAAACUUUUUAAUGAUACUGUCAGGAUCAUGCUUUGUGUUCCUGUGACCUAGUGCACGUUUACACGACAACAAUGUAAAAAAGUUUGUAUAGAUGACAAUGCUGUCAAAACGAUCCUCAUUCACAUGGAUCCUCAAAAAUUACUAAAAACGCUGUAUUAUGCAUUCCAGGUCAGUAUUUAGCAAUGUCACUUUGUAAAGAAAGACUAUGCGCCUGUGCACAUACGCAAUCUUUUCAAACGUGCAUGCCUAUAGACUGAACAUGUAAUGCGCAUGUGCAUGCUGUCACCGUUUUCACAGAUCUGCUUUUUUGUUGUUUUCGUGGAGGUGAUAAUGGUAUCAUUUUCAAAAACUUGCACUUUGAAACCUGUUUUCAAAAGUUUUUUGCAUUUUCAGGCCCCCAAAACGCCAUUGUUGUGUAAAUGAACGGCCAAAACGCAUAAAAAGUUUUCUGUUAAAAAAUU